GACUUAGCAACAGCUGCAGCAGCAGCAGCAGCAGCAGCAUCCGCGCGCCCGCCCCGGCCGGCCGGCCAGCAGCUGCACUUCUGAGGCGCGCGCUCCGCAGUCCCCAGCCCAGUGCCUGCACGCUGUUGCAUGAGACUGAGAUCAGGGAUAUUCAAGUUUUGAAGCCAAGAUUGAUUAACUAGACUAGAAAGAAGCAGCUGGUGGUGUGAUUUGCGUCCUUGUUUAUGAAGCAUUCAUUCAUUUUUAUAAGAAGAAGCCAA